GAUCCUGUUGAAAAGUCGGUGAGGGGCUGACUGCCCGGGUCCCUCCCCAGCCGCCUCCCUCCCAGUGGGCUGCACUGGUGCUAUGGUGGGAACGGCAGGUGACCUGGUCCUGUGUGCCUGGCAGCCAGGGAAGAUGCCAUGUGGGCAUCCCACAGCUCAUCGCAAAGAGAUUUGAUUGCUGGGAAUGCUGAUAUCUUAAUUAUGAUGUGACAUUUCAAGCUGAGACC
rnacentral:snoRNA from 1 species